rnacentral:rRNA from 1 species
AAUCAACGCUGGCGGCGUGCCUCAGACAUGCAAGUCGAACGAUUAAAGCUCUCUUCGGAGAGUGUAUAGAGUGGCGCACGGGUGAGUAACACGUAAGUAAUCUACCUUUGAGUGGGGAAUAACGUCCGGAAACGGACGCUAAUACCGCAUAAUGCAGCGGCAUCGCAAGAUGACAGUUGUUAAAGAUUUAUCGCUUGAAGAGGAGCUUGCGGCAGAUUAGCUAGUUGGUAAGGUAAUGGCUUACCAAGGCUACGAUCUGUAACCGGUCUAAGAGGACGGUCGGUCACACUGACACUGAACAACGGGUCAGACUCCUACGGGAGGCAGCAGUCGGGAAUUUUGGGCAAUGGGCGAAAGCCUGACCCAGCAACGCCGCGUGAAGGAUGAAGUAUUUCGGUAUGUAAACUUCGAAAGAAUGGGAAGAAUAAAUGACGGUACCAUUUAUAAGGUCCGGCUAACUACGUG